GAUGAACGCUAGCGGGAGGCUUAACACAUGCAAGUCGAGGGGCAGCAUAGGGUAGCAAUACUCUGAUGGCGACCGGCAAACGGGUGAGUAACGCGUAUGCAACCUACCCUGUACAGGGGGAUAACCCGGAGAAAUUCGGACUAAUAUCCCGUAAUAAUAUCCGGAGGCAUCUUUGGAUAUUUAAAGUUCCGACGGUACGGGAUGGGCAUGCGUAACAUUAACUGGUUGGUAAGGUAACGGCUUACCAAGGCUAUGAUGUUUAGGGGUCCUGAGAGGGUGGUCCCCCAACUGGUACUGAGACACGGACCAGACUCCUACGGGAGGCAGCAGUGAGGAAUAUUGGUCAAUGGGCGCAAGCCUGAACCAGCCAUCCCCGGUGCAGGAAGACGGCCCUAUGGGUUGUAAACUGCUUUUCCAGGGAGAGAAACUUACGCACGUGUUGCGUGACUGACGGUACCCUGGGAAUAAGCAUCGGCUAACUCCGUGCCAGCAGGCCGCGGUAAAAGUGUGUGUA
rnacentral:rRNA from 1 species